rnacentral:rRNA from 1 species
RGUAAAAAACCAAUSCCCUUYGGGGCUCCUUGGUGAWUCWUAAUAACUWAASGAAUCGCWUGGCCUUGCGCSGGCGAUGGUUCAUUCAAWUUUCUGCCYUAUCAACUUUCGAUGGUAGGAUAGUGGCCUUACCWUGGUAUMAACGGGUAACGGGGAAUUAGGGUUCGACUCCGGAGAGGGAGCYUGAGAAACGGYUACCACAUCCAAGGAAGGCAGCAGGCGCGCAAAUUACCCAAUCCCGACACGGGGAGGUAGUGACAAUAAAUACUUGAUACAGGGCUCUUUUGGGUCUUGUAAUUGGAAUGAGUACAAUUUAAAUCCCUUAACGAGGAACAAUUGGAGGGCAAGUCUGGUGCCAGCAGCCGCGGUAAUUCCAGCUCCAAUAGCGUAUAUUAAAGUUGUUGCAGUUAAAAAGCUCGUAGUUGAACCUUGGGCCUGGCUGGCCGGUCCGCCUCACCGCGUGUACUGGGUCCGGCCGGGCCUUUCCUUCUGGGGAACCUCAUGCCCUUCACUUGGGCGUGUUU